rnacentral:rRNA from 1 species
UACAGAGGGUGCGAGCGUUAAUCGGAAUUACUGGGCGUAAAGCGUGCGUAGACGGUUAUUUAAGUCGGGUGUGAAAGCCCCGGGCUCAACCUGGGAAUUGCAUUCGAGACUGAAUAGCUAGGGUACGGUAGAGGGAAGUGGAAUUUCUGGUGUAGCGGUGAAAUGCGCAGAUAUCAGGAGGAACACCAGCGGCGAAGGCGGUGCUCUGGGCCGGAACUGACGCUGAGGAGCGAAAGCGUGGGGAGCGAACAGG